AACGAACGCUGGCGGCGUGCUUAACACAUGCAAGUCGAACGGGAAUGUAGGGGCAACUCUACUAGUACCGUGGCGCACGGGUGAGUAAUACGUAGGUAAUCUACCUUCCAUUGGGGGAACAACCUCGGGAAACCGGGGCUAAUUCCGCGUACGUCCUGCUGUCGUAUUGGCGGCGGGGGAAAGGUGGCCUCUUCAUGAAAGCUAUCGAUGGAAGAUGAGCCUGCGCACCAUUUAGCUAGUUGGUAGGGUAAAAGCCUACCAAGGCAACGAUGGUUAGCUGAUCUGAGAGGACGGUCAGCCACACUGGCACUGAAACACGGGCCAGACUCCUACGGGAGGCAG
rnacentral:rRNA from 1 species